GACGAACGCUGGCGGCGUGCCUAAUACAUGCAAGUCGAACGCAGUGGGGACGGGUGAGUAACACGUGGGUAACCUCCCAUCAGAGGGGAUAACACUUGGAAACAGGUGCUAAACCGAUACUGAUGGAUGGACCCGCGGUGCAUUGGCUAGUUGGUGAGGUAACGGCUCACCAAGGCCACGAUGCAUAGCAGCCCUGAGAGGGGUUGCGGCGACACUGGAACAGAGACACGGCCCAGACUCCUACGGGAGGCAGCAUUAGGUAAUUUUCGGCAAUGGACGAAAGUCUGACCGAGAAACGCCGCGUGAGGAAAGAAGGUUUUCGGUUCGUAAAACUCUGUUGUUAGAGAAACGGUAUCUAACCAGAAAGCCACGGCUAACUACGUGCCAGCCGCCGCGGUAAUUC
rnacentral:rRNA from 1 species